rnacentral:rRNA from 1 species
GCCGGUUUCCCUAGAUGAUCUUCACCGGUUGUCCUGGGUGACCGGCACGUUUACUUUGAAAAAAUUAGAGUGCUCAAAGCAGGCGCGUAGCCUGAAUAAUGGUGCAUGGAAUAAUGGAAUAGGACUUCGUUUCUAUUUUGUUGGUUUUCGGAACACGAGGUAAUGAUUAAGAGGGACAGACGGGGGCAUUCGUAUUGCGACGCUAGAGGUGAAAUUCUUGGACCGUCGCAAGACGAACUACUGCGAAAGCAUUUGCCAAGAAUGUUUUCAUUAAUCAAGAACGAAAGUUAGAGGUUCGAAGGCGAUCAGAUACCGCCCUAGUUCUAACCAUAAACGAUGCCAACCAGCGAUCCGCCUGAGUUCCUCAAAUGACUCGGCGGGCAGCUUCUGGGAAACCAAAGUGUUUGGGUUCCGGGGGAAGUAUGGUUGCAAAGCUGAAACUUAAAGGAAUUGACGGAAGGGCACCACCAGGCGUGGAGCUUGCGGUUUAAUUUGACUCAACACGGGGAAACUCACCCGGCCCGGACACUGGAAGGAUUGACAGAUUAAGAGCUCUUUCUUGAUUCAGCGGGUGGUGGUGCAUGGCCGUUCUUAGUUGGUGGAGCGAUUUGUCUGGUUAAUUCCGAUAACGAGCGAGAUUCUAUCCUACUAAAUAGGCGUCCCGAUCACUCCCGUCGGGCGUUCUUCUUAGAGGGACAAGUGGCGUUUAGCCGCACGAGACAGAGCAAUAACAGGUCUGUGAUGCCCUUAGAUGGUCGGGGCUGCACGCGUGCUACACUGAAGGAAUCAGCGUGUGCUUUCCCUGUCCGGAAGGACUGGGUAACCCGUUGAACCUCCUUCGUGAUAGGGAUAGGGGCUUGUAAUUGUUCCCCUUGAACGAGGAAUGCCCAGUAAGCGCGAGUCAUAAGCUCGUGUUGAUUACGUCCCUGCCCUUUGUACACACCGCCCGUCGCUACUACCGAUUGAAUGAUUUAGUGAGGUCUUCGGACUGGCGCUCGGAGCGGCCGCAA